AACGGCGGCCGUAACUAUAACGGUCCUAAGGUAGCGAAAUUCCUUGUCGGGUAAGUUCCGACCCGCACGAAAGGCGUAACGAUUUGGGCACUGUCUCAACGAGAGACUCGGUGAAAUCAUAGUACCUGUGAAGAUGCAGGUUACCCGCGACAGGACGGAAAGACCCCGUGGAGCUUUACUGUAGCCUGAUAUUGAAAUUCGGCACAGCUUGUACAGGAUAGGUAGGAGCCUUUGAAACGUGAGCGCUAGCUUACGUGGAGGCGUUGGUGGGAUACUACCCUAGCUGUGUUGGCUUUCUAACCCGCACCACUUAUCGUGGUGGGAGACAGUGUCAGGCGGGCAGUUUGACUGGGGCGGUCGCCUCCUAAAAGGUAACGGAGGCGCUCAAAGGUUCCCUCAGAAUGGUUGGAAAUCAUUCAUAGAGUGUAAAGGCAUAAGGGAGCUUGACUGCGAGACCUACAAGUCGAGCAGGGUCGAAAGACGGACUUAGUGAUCCGGUGGUUCCGCAUGGAAGGGCCAUCGCUCAACGGAUAAAAGCUACCCCGGGGAUAACAGGCUUAUCUCCCCCAAGAGUUCACAUCGACGGGGAGGUUUGGCACCUCGAUGUCGGCUCAUCGCAUCCUGGGGCUGUAGUCGGUCCCAAGGGUUGGGCUGUUCGCCCAUUAAAGCGGUACGCGAGCUGGGUUCAGAACGUCGUGAGACAGUUCGGUCCCUAUCCGUCGUGGGCGUAGGAAAUUUGAGAGGAGCUGUCCUUAGUACGAGAGGACCGGGAUGGACAUACCUCUGGUGUACCAGUUGUCGUGCCAACGGCAUAGCUGGGUAGCUAUGUAUGGACGGGAUAAGUGCUGAAAGCAUCUAAGCAUGAAGCCCCCCUCAAGAUGAGAUUUCCCAACUUCGGUUAUAAGAUCCCUCGAAGAUGACGAGGUUAAUAGGUUCGAGGUGGAAGCGUGGUGACACGUGGAGCUGACGAAUACUAAUCGAUCGAAGACUUAAUCAAUUUUUAAA
rnacentral:rRNA from 1 species